rnacentral:tRNA from 1 species
GCUGAUAUAGCUCAAUUGGUAGAGUUUCUGUUUUGUACUCAGAAUGUUGUGGGUUCAAUUCCUACUAUCAGCUCCA